rnacentral:lncRNA from 1 species
GAGUGAAAAUACGAGACAAGACCUUCGUAUGCCAAGUCUGAUCCUAAUCUUACGGGUUAUCUGUAAUGAGUAAACUAGGGUGAACUUAAAAAGCUCAAUGUGAGUCUAAGCAAAAGUAAGCAUUGCAUAGGCAUGCAACCAGUCAAUGAAGCAUACAGUUAUUAUAAUAGUUCAUAUAGUUUAUCAUGACAUAUCAAACUUUUGUAUACAAAAUAGUGCAAUGAUCAUACCCAUUCAUCCGUUACACACCAUAAGUUCCCCAAAAUCCGUCACCCGAACACCAAAACAAUAAGAGCCAAAGCUUGAUGUGGUUAAACCACCUGUAACAAUAUGCAGUUAAAAUUGUCAGUAAUUUGCAGACAAGCUACCAAUAAGUUGCGUUAAGUCGCCAGUACUCUAAGGCGCAGAUAUAUUGCUAAACAAUAAUAUUGCAGAUAAAUCAAUAGUACACUAUGAAACUCUUCUGUCACGUAUCAAUACCAAACCCAUGCAAUGAAAUAUGACAUAAAUAAUGUAACAUAUCAUGCUAAACAGUAACAGUAUCAAUAAUAGUGGCAUGUUUAACAUGCUUUCAGUUUACCCAUUUUAGUGGCAUGCUUAUUCAUACAUUCAACAAAAAAUAAAAUAUCAUAUCAUACAGGAAACAAACAUUCAGUAUUUUCUUUCAGCAGUUACAUAUUUACAUAAUCACAAUAAGGCUCUUAUUUAUUCGACAAUUACCAUUAAUACUUACCUUAAUCGGCAACCCCUAAACCAACUCAAGGUCAUUCGACCAAGCACAAAUCAAUAUGUAAUAAUUGGUCAACAUGCAUAAUACUUAAUUUUUAACAAUCAUUAACACCCAAAGGUAAGCCCCACACCUAAUUACACAAUUCCGAACACUAUCACUUUUCCCCAGCUCCUACGCUUUAGAUCUAACUAGAUCUUAUUCAUAUUUGUACCCAAUAGAGAUCAAUCAUUAUACCCUUUAUCACCAAAAUAGGGUUCAGACAAAGCAAUGAGAUCAAUUGACUUUUCAGAUCUGGAGUUGAGAUUUGAUACUUACCCUAUUUGGCUUACAACAAUAUUGCGAACAAAUUACCAAAGCUAGUAUUGAUUUGAAUGGUUUGGAUCUAGACCUUGAAUCAGUCAUAACACAUAAAGAAUGGGACAUGCAAGAUUUUUCCAUUACAUUAAUUAAUAAAGAGGUAUUCUACGUCUGAUAAAAAGAAAAUUAAAAAUAAAACGCUUACACUACCCGACUAGAUCUGUGAUGUCAAAAAAAAAACCCAGAGAGCAGAAGAAAAAAAAAGGCUGGCGACAAUAGGGAAGAAAAAUAAUCAACAAGGUUUGGCUAUGGGAAAAAAUCGUAGCAACAAAUGGCCAAAGGAAAAGAAUCAAGCA